GGCGAGAUAGCUCAGUUGGUAGAGCACCUGUCUAAAGAUUCAGGGGGCAAGGGUUCGAAUUCCGUUCUUGUCU